GCUUCCCUCUUUCUUCGUGCCUAAUACAUGCAAGUCGAGCGAACGGACGAGAAGCUUGCUUCUCUGAUGUUAGCGGCGGACGGGUGAGUAACACGUGGAUAACCUACCUAUAAGACUGGGAUAACUUCGGGAAACCGUAGCUAAUACCGGAUAAUAUUUUGAACCGCAUGGUUCAAAAGUGAAAGACGGUCUUGCUGUCACUUAUAGAUGGAUCCGCGCUGCAUUAGCUAGUUGGUAAGGUAACGGCUUACCAAGGCAACGAUGCAUAGCCGACCUGAGAGGGUGAUCGGCCACACUGGAACUGAGACACGGUCCAGACUCCUACGGAAGGCAGCAGUAGGGAAUCUUCCGCAAUGGGCGAAAGCCUGACGGAGCAACGCCGCGUGAGUGAUGAAGGUCUUCGGAUCGUAAAACUCUGUUAUUAGGGAAGAACAAAUGUGUAAGUAACUAUGCACGUCUUGACGGUACCUAAUCAGAAAGCCACGGCUAACUACGUG
rnacentral:rRNA from 1 species